rnacentral:rRNA from 1 species
GACGUAGGGUCCGAGCGUUGUCCGGAGUUACUGGGCGUAAAGGGCGCGUAGGCGGUUAUCUGCGUCACACGUGAAAGCCCCUGGCUCAACCAGGGAGGGUCGUGUGAAACGGGGUAACUGGAGGCAGAGAGAGGCUGGUGGAAUUCCCGGAGUAGUGGUGAAAUGCGUAGAGAUCGGGAGGAACACCGGUGGCGAAGGCGGCCAGCUGGCUCUGACCUGA